GCCAGCAUAGUAUGAUGGUUUGAGUGCUAGACUAUGACUCUGGAGACCAGGGUUCAAAUCCCAGCUCAGCCA